rnacentral:rRNA from 1 species
GACGAACGCUGGCGGCGUGCCUAAUACAUGCAAGUUGAGCGAUGAAGAUUGGUGCUUGCACCAAUUUGAAGAGCAGCGAACGGGUGAGUAACGCGUGGGGAAUCUGCCUUUGAGCGGGGGACAACAUUUGGAAACGAAUGCUAAUACCGCAUAACAACUUUAAACAUAAGUUUUAAGUUUGAAAGAUGCAAUUGCAUCACUCAAAGAUGAUCCCGCGUUGUAUUAGCUAGUUGGUGAGGUAAAGGCUCACCAAGGCGAUGAUACAUAGCCGACCUGAGAGGGUGAUCGGCCAAAUUGGGACUUGGACACGGCCCAAAACCCUACGGGAGGCAGCAGUAGGGAAUCUUCGGCAAUAGACGAAAGGCUGACCGAGCAACGCCGCGUGAGUGAAGAAGGUUUUCGGAUCGUAAAACUCUGUUGGUAGAGAAGAAAGUUGGUGAGAGUGGAAAGCUCAUCAAGUGACGGUAACUACCCAGAAAGGGACGGCUAACUACGUG